GCCGCCGUUGGGAAUUUUGGACCAUGGGCGCAAGCCUGAUCCCGCCAUUCCGGGUGAGUGAAGAAGGCCUUUGGGUUGUAAAGGUAUUUUGCAAGGGAAGAAAAACUACGCUGUCACUUCGCGUGAGUAUGACGGUACCUUUAUAAGAAGCACCGGCUAACUACGUGCCAGCAGCCGCGGUAAUACGUAGGGUGCGAGCGUUAAUCGGAAUUACUGGGCGUAAAGCGUGCGCAGGCGGUUUUGUAAGUCAGAUGUGAAAUCCCCGAGCUCAACUUGGGAACUGCGUUUGAAACUACAAGACUAGAAUAUGUCAGAGGGGGGUGGAAUUUCAGGUGUAGCAGUGAAAUGCGUAGAGUGGGAGGAACACCAAUGGCGAAGGCAGCCCCCUGGGAUAAUAUUGACGCUCAUGCACGAAAGCGUGGGGAGCAAACAGGAUU
rnacentral:rRNA from 1 species